rnacentral:rRNA from 1 species
GAUUAACGCUAGCGGCAGGCCUAAUACAUGCAAGUCGAGGGGUAAGGUCACUUCGGUGACACACGACCGGCGAACGGGUGCGUAACGCGUAUGCAAUCUACCUAUAGCAGGGGGAUAGGCUGUGGAAACAUAGAUUAAUACCCCAUAAUACAUUAAUGUCACCUGGCAUAAAUGUUAAAGCUCCGGUGGCUAUAGAUGAGCAUGCGUCUGAUUAGUUAGUUGGGGAGGUAAUGGCUCACCAAGACCACGAUCAGUAGCGGGUUUGAGAGGAUGAUCCGCCACACUGGCACUGAGAUACGGGCCAGACUCCUACGGGAGGCAGCAGUAGGGAAUAUUGGGCAAUGGGCGCAAGCCUGACCCAGCCAUGCCGCGUGCAGGAAGAAGGCCUUCUGGGUUGUAAACUGCUUUUAUACAGGAAGAAAAAGGACCUGCGGGUCCAAUUGACGGUACUGUAAGAAUAAGCACCGGCUAACUCCGUGCCAGCAGCCGCGGUAAUACGGAGGGUGCAAGCGUUGUCCGGAUUUAUUGGGUUUAAAGGGUGCGCAGGCGGACCUGCCAGUCAGUGGUGAAAUCCCGGGGCUCAACCUCGGAACUGCCAUUGAUACUACAGGUCUUGAAUACGGUUGAGGUAGGCGGAAUGUAGCAUGUAGCGGUGAAAUGCAUAGAUAUGCUACAGAACACCGAUCGCGAAGGCAGCUUACCAAGCCGAUAUUGACGCUCAGGCACGAAAGCGUGGGUAGCGAACAGGAUUAGAUACCCUGGUAGUCCACGCCGUAAACGAUGAUUACUCGUUGUUGGCAAUACACAGUCAGUGACUAAGGGAAACCGAUAAGUAAUCCACCUGGGGAGUACGACCGCAAGGUUGAAACUCAAAGGAAUUGACGGGGGCCCGCACAAGCGGUGGAGCAUGUGGUUUAAUUCGAUGAUACGCGAGGAACCUUACCUGGGCUCAAAUGUAAGUUGACAGUACCCGAAAGGGUAUUUUCUUCGGACAAUUUACAAGGUGCUGCAUGGUUGUCGUCAGCUCGUGCCGUGAGGUGUCGGGUUAAGUCCCAUAACGAGCGCAACCCCUAUUCUUAGUUGCCAUCAGGUCAAGCUGGGGACUCUAGGAAAACUGCCUACGCAAGUAGAGAGGAAGGUGGGGAUGACGUCAAAUCAGCACGGCCCUUACGUCCAGGGCUACACACGUGCUACAAUGGCCGGUACAGAGGGCAGCCACCCCGUGAGGGGGAGCGAAUCUCGAAAGCCGGUCUCAGUUCGGAUCGAAGUCUGCAACCCGACUUCGUGAAGCUGGAAUCGCUAGUAAUCGUAGAUCAGCCAUGCUACGGUGAAUACGUUCCCGGGUCUUGUACUCACCGCCCGUCACACCAUGGGAGUUGAUUUCACCCGAAGCGGGGAAGCUAAAUUGGCUACCCUCCACGGUGGAAUUAGCGACUGGGGU